AUUGAACGCUGGCGGCAGGCCUAACACAUGCAAGUCGAACGAGUGGCGGACGGGUGAGUAAUGUCUGGGAAACUGCCUGUUGGAGGGGGAUAACUACUGGAAACCGUAGCUAAUACCGCAUACCAUCAGAUGUGCCCAGAUGGGAUUGGCUAGUUGGUGGGGUAACGGCUCACCAAGGCGACGAUCCCUAGCUGGUCUGAGAGGAUGACCAGCCACACUGGAACGAGGACAAGGGCCAUACUCAUACGGGAGGAAGCAGGGGGGAAUAUUGCACAAUGGGCGAAAGCCUGAGGCAGCCAUGCCGCGUGUAUGAAGAAGGCCUUCGGGUUGUAAAGUACUUUCAGCGGGUAGGCGUUACCCGCAGAAGAAGCACCGGCUAACUCCGUGCCAGCAGCCGCGGUAAUAC
rnacentral:rRNA from 1 species